CCUUCAGUCCCUUCCAUUUCUCUUCCCAUUUUCUCUCCCUUCUUCCCUCUCCUUCAGUCUCUUCCACUUCUCUUCCGUAUUUUCUUCUCAAUCAUACCUUCCUUUCUAUUUCUACCUCAAUUCCUCCUCCGUUUUUCCCUCUUGCUUCUCCCAUCUUCAUUUCUAUCCUUCCCAUUUCCUUUCUGUUAGUCCCUCCUUCUCUCCAUCCCUUCCUCCUCAUCCUCACUUUGUUUUUCACAUAGUCCCUUCCAUCAUUCCUAUCCUUCCUAUUUCUCCUCUUCCUUCUCCUUCAGUUCCUCCAUCCCUCUUAUACCUUAUCCCUCCAUUCCUCCUCCAGCCAGAGUGCUUCAGUCUUCCCUCUCCUUCCAUCUUUCCUUCCACUUUCGCGCCAAUGGACACGAACAACAUCGCAUUUAUCGUACCCACGUCCUCCAACGGUCAUGUCAUUGUGAUGGCCGUUUGUUAUUUUUCCAAGUGGAUUGAGGCUCGCUCUUUAAAAUCAAAGGAAGCUGUAGAAGUGGCUCGGUUCCUGUACGAGGACAUUAUCCGUCGUCAUGGACGUGUUGCCAUACAGAUCAAUGACCAGGGCAGAGAGUUUGUGAACUCAGUCUCAGCAGAGCUCCACACGCUCGCAGGAACAACGCAGAGAAUCACAUCUGCUUAUCAUCCUCAAAUCUACAGUCCAGGCCUACACGAGGUUUUCACCAUUCAAGAUGUUAUAUGGCCGAGAACCUGUCCUUCCCAUCGAUGUGGACCACGAGUUCGCUGACUGCACCUCCGAUCCUGACGAUCCUGAUUGAGGAGUCUGACCCAUGCUACACUCUCAACGCUCGAAAUAUUAGUUGUUUUUUCAUACGUUGAAACUACUAAUUAGGAGCUUAUAUAAUCAUGCUAAAUAGUCUAUCACCACAAAUAUGGAUAAGGAACUCGGUCGGUAUGGUAACACUUUACUCAUGUUUUUAGAAGUAGUCAACUCGCUUUCAAAUCCGUCUCCCAGG